rnacentral:rRNA from 1 species
AUUGAACGCUGGCGGCAGGCCUAACACAUGCAAGUCGAGCGGAUGAAGGGAGCUUGCUCCUGGAUUCAGCGGCGGACGGGUGAGUAAUGCCUAGGAAUCUGCCUGGUAGUGGGGGAUAACGUCCGGAAACGGGCGCUAAUACCGCAUACGUCCUGAGGGAGAAAGUGGGGGAUCUUCGGACCUCACGCUAUCAGAUGAGCCUAGGUCGGAUUAGCUAGUUGGUGGGGUAAAGGCCUACCAAGGCGACGAUCCGUAACUGGUCUGAGAGGAUGAUCAGUCACACUGGAACUGAGACACGGUCCAGACUCCUACGGGAGGCAGCAGUGGGGAAUAUUGGGCAAUGGGCGCAAGCCUGAUCCAGCCAUGCCGCGUGUGUGAAGAAGGUCUUCGGAUUGUAAAGCACUUUAAGUUGGGAGGAAGGGCAGUAAGUUAAUACCUUGCUGUUUUGACGUUACCAACAGAAUAAGCACCGGCUAACUUCGUG